rnacentral:rRNA from 1 species
CCAUUCAAGGGAGGCAGCAGGCGCGCAAUUACCCAAUCCUGACUCAGGGAGGUAGUGACAAGAAAUAACAAUAAACCGGCUUAUGCCGGUUUAAUUGGAAUGAGUACAAUUUAAACAUCUUAACGAGGAACAAUUGGAGGGCAAGUCUGGUGCCAGCAGCCGCGGUAAUUCCAGCUCCAAUAGCGUAUACUAAAGUUGUUGCAGUUAAAAAGCUCGUAGUUGGAUUUCUGUGGGGACGGAGCGGCCGGCCGCACAUCGCGGUUCGAGCUAGCGCUUUCCCUACAUCCUGCCGCGAACCGUGCUACCAUUAGUUUGGUGGCGCCGGGGAUCGGCUCGAUUACUUUGAGAAAAAUAGAGUGUUCAAAGCAGGCCACAUGCCUUGAAUAAGUUAGCAUGGAAUAAUAACUAAGGACUUCGGUUCUAUUUUGUUGGUGUUCGGGACUGAAGUAAUGAUUGAUAGGGACAGUUGGGGCGGUCUGUAUUCCAAAGCGAGAGGUGAAAUUCUUAGACCUUCGGAAGACAAACAGCUGCGAAAGCGUUCCGCAAGGAUGUUCCCUUUGAUCAAGAACGAAAGUUGGGGGAUCGAAGACGAUCAGAUACCGUCGUAGUCUCAACUAUAAACUAUACCAGCUAGGGAUCGGCCAACGUUAUUUUAUACCGACUUGGUCGGCACCUUAUGAGAAAUCAAAGCAUCUGGGUUCCGGGGGGAGUAUGGUCGCAAGGCUGAAACUUAAAGGAAUUGACGGAAGGGCACCACCAGCCGUGGAGCCUGUGGCUUAAUUUGACUCAACACGGGAAAACUUACCAGGUCCAGACAUAGUAAGGAUUGACAGAUUGAUAGCUCUUUCUUGAUUCUGUGGGUGGUGGUGCAUGGCCGUUCUUAGUUGGUGGAGUGAUUUGUCUGGUUAAUUCCGUUAACGAACGAGACCCCAGCCUGCUAAAUAGCGCGCGUGAGCUUUGCUCGCGGCGAGCUUCUUAGAGGGACUAUGAUGCGCGAUAGCACAUGGAAGUUUGGGGCAAUAACAGGUCUGUGAUGCCCUUAGAUGUUCUGGGCCGCACACGGGCUACACUGGCGCCUGCAACGAGCAUAUCAGCUGGCCCGAGAGGGUCUUGGCUAAUCUUUUGAACCGGCGCCGUGCUUGGGAUUGACCUUUGCAAUUGUUGGUCAUGCAACGAGGAAUGCCUUGUAAACGCGAGUCAUCAGCUCGCAUUGAAUACGUCCCUGCCCUUUGUACACACCGCCCGUCGCUCCUACCGAUGAAUGUUCCGAUGAAAUUUUCGGAGAGCACCUGUGAACUUGGCUCCGCCUUGCGAACGGGAGGCUCAAAGUCAC